rnacentral:rRNA from 1 species
AUGGAAACACCAGCACCACCCACCCCUCAGACGGCCAUCAGCAUGCCGGGUACGUCGAAUGUUGCUGUCAAGCAGGAGGCUGAAGGCAAGACCUGUGUGACUCAGAAGGUGUUGUCGGUGUCGGCGAACCUGGUGCAGCUGCUGCCGACGGGGUCGGUGAUGGCGUACCAGAUGCUGGCGCCGUCCUUCAGCAACCAGGGCAACUGCUACCCCUCCAACUGGUGGAUCACCCUCGGCCUCGUCAUCGCGCUCGCCACCUCCUGCGUCUUCUUCGCGUUCACCGACUCCGUCGUCCACAAUGGUAAGGUGUAUUACGGAAUAGCCACGUAUGAGGGACUCAACGUGUUCAACAUAUCAAGCAAGGAUCAGGAGACGGAGUUCAAAAGCAUGAAGUCGGAGCUCGACAAGCGGCAUCUCAAGAAGCAGGACUUUGUUCACGCCUUCCUCACCGUCGUCGUCUUCCUCACGAUGGCCUUCAGCGACGUCGGGCUCCAGAACUGCUUCUUCCCCAAGGCUGGCACCGACGCCCAGCAGCUGCUCAAGAACCUGCCGCUGGGAAUGGCCGUCUUCUCCAGUCUAGUCUUCACCAUCUUCCCAAGCAAAAGGAACUUCAUCGGAUGCACCGACCCAAACGGUGACGGCCACAAGGACAUCAUGCAAAGUCAACUUGAGUCACAAUCGACUUCCACUGCUACAACUCCAUGCACUGCAUGUGGUCACUAA